UACGUAGGGGGCCAGCGUUGCUCGGAAUUACUGGGCGUAAAGGGUUCGUAGGUGGUGCGGCAAGUUGGAAGUGAAAUCUCUGGGCUUAACCCAGAGGCUGCUUUCAAAACUGCCGCGCUCGAGUGCGAGAGAGGUCAGUGGAAUUGCAGGUGUAGCGGUGAAAUGCGUAGAUAUCUGCAGGAACACCCGUGGCGAAGGCGGCUGACUGGAUCGCAACUGACACUGAGGAACGAAAGCUAGGGGAGCAAACAGG
rnacentral:rRNA from 3 species